CAUAUACUCCCUCAGUCCGAAAAAACUUGUCCCUCAAAUGGAUGAAUCUAGCACUAACUUGGUGGUAGAUACAUCCAUUUUAGGGACAAGCUUUUUCGGAUGGAGGGAGUACAUC
rnacentral:pre_miRNA from 1 species